rnacentral:rRNA from 1 species
AUUGAACGCUGGCGGCAGGCCUAACACAUGCAAGUCGAACGAGUGGCGGACGGGUGAGUAAUGUCUGGGAAACUGCCUGAUGGAGGGGGAUAACUACUGGAAACGGUAGCUAAUACCGCAUCCCAUCGGAUGUGCCCAGAUGGGAUUAGCUAGUAGGUUGGGUAAAGGCUCACCUAGGCGACGAUCCCUAGCUGGUCUGAGAGGAUGACAAUCCAACAUGGAACUGAGACACGGUCCAGACUCCUACGGGAGGCAGCAGUGGGGAAUAUUGCACAAUGGGCGCCAGCCUGAUGCAGCCAUGCCGCGUGUAUGAAGAAGGCCUUCGGGUGGUAAAGGACUUUCAGCGUGGAGGCGUUACCCGCAGAAGAAGCACCGGCUAACUCCGUGCCAGCAGCCGCGGUAAUAC